UGUAGAAUCCCUUGAACCAUCGAGUUUUUGAAUGCAAGUUGCGCUCGAGGCUAUCUGCCCCUACCUAGGCAUCACGCCUCGCAUCGCUCCGCACACCCUUCCCCCCGAACCGAGGAGACGGCGGGUGCGGGUAUAAAGAUUAUCCCCCCAUGCCUUGUGGUGCGGUGGGUCAAAGUGAGGGUAGCUGGCCAAGAUGGAUGCGAUAAGUGGUGGACGGACACAUACGGCACUGAAAUUUACCUCUGCACCCGUCCCCAGCGGCGCAUACAAGGAACCCACACUGAGCACCCCUCGGAAUACGACCCCAGGUCAGGCGGGGCCAUCUGCUGAGCUUAAGCAUAUAAAUAAGUAGAGGAGAAGAAACUUACCAAGAUUCCCCUAGUAACAACAAGCGAACCGAAAAGAGCCCAGCUUGGGAAUUAGGCGGCCGCGCCGCUCGA
rnacentral:rRNA from 1 species